AUCUUUGUUCCCCAACCAGGGAUGGAACCUGUGUCACCUGCUUUGGAGGGUGGAUUCUCAACCACUGGACCGUGAGUGCAGUCUCCCUCCCUGCCGCCUUGGCUCUUCUGUUGUCCACAACCAUUAAUUCCGCGUUCUGCCCCAGGCAGGCAGGAGCAACAGGGACUGGAGGUUGGCACGGCGCAGACCUGCAGGGGACACAACAGCUGUGCAAAGACCAGCACGUGACCCUGCAAGCACAGCACUGCAGCUUCUGACGGCACCAGGAGGAGGGCAGGGAAACAAAGGCCACAGGCACAGCCACGCCAGCUGCCAGGAGCCCCAGUCCCCACGGCGACACAGAAAAAUAGUCGUGAGACUGCAUCCAAUGUCACUCUCCACUGGGGACCUCCCAGCCCCCACCCCGGGACUGAAGCGCCAGGCCCGGGAAACAGGCCGCUCCUCUGUCUCUCCCUGGAAGGUCCAAGGGUUGCUCCGGCUGGGCAGGGGGGAUUCCUGGGGAGCUGGGGUGGGGAGGUGGAUGUUUAGGGAGCUCCGAUGACAGAGCGCAGGGCCAGCUCAGCACAGCUCAGACCAGGCUGCCAGCACAGCUCGUGCCCCUCCUCUGUGCGAUGCCACUCCUGCCCCUGGGCUGGGUUCUGCCAGCAGGACUCCAGGAGAAAGUAGACCCAUCUCCUCCCUCUCCUCGCUUCUCCAGAUCAGCCCUCCACCUGUCCCUCCUUUCUGCCUCAGGUCCUACACCAAGACCUCUGCUUCAAUGACUUCAGACCCACUACACACAAUUCACAUAUUACCUUAAACCAGACGUUUUAACUUUCCUGAGCCUUGAUUUAAAACAAAACAAAACAAAACAAACUUCUACCUUCUCUCUCUCUCAAGGAUAAAAUGGGGUUUAAAAAGUAA